rnacentral:rRNA from 1 species
CAAAUCUGAAAAAAGACGUCCCUAGUUCGGAUUGUAGGCUGAAACUCGCCUACAUGAAGCUGGAAUUGCUAGUAAUCACAGGUCAGCAUACUGUGGUGAAUACGUUCCCGGGCCUUGUACACACCGCCCGUCACACCAUGAGAGUUGGGAAUACCCGAAGCCCGUAGCCUAACAGCAAUGAGGGCGCGGUCGAAGGUGGGUUCGAUAAUUGGGGUGAAGUCGUAACAAGGUAUC